rnacentral:rRNA from 1 species
GACGAACGCUGGCGGCGUGCUUAACACAUGAAGUCGAACGGAAAGGCCCUGCUUUUGUGGGGUGCUCGAGUGGCGAACGGGUGAGUAACACGUGAGUAACCUGCCCUUGACUUUGGGAUAACUUCAGGAAACUGGGGCUAAUACCGGAUAGGAGCUCCUGCUGCAUGGUGGGGGUUGGAAAGUUUCGGCGGUUGGGGAUGGACUCGCGGCUUAUCAGCUUGUUGGUGGGGUAGUGGCUUACCAAGGCUUUGAAGGGUAGCCGGCCUGAGAGGGUGACCGGCCACAUUGGGACUGAGAUACGGCGCAGACUCCUACGGGAGGCAGCAGGGGGGAAUAUUGCACAAUGGGCGGAAGCCUGAUGCAGCAACGCCGCGUGCGGGAUGACGGCCUUCGGGUUGUAAACCGCUGUCGCCUGUGACGAAGCGUGAGUGACGGUAAUGGGUAAAGAAGCACCGGCUAACUACGUG